UACGUAGGGCGCAAGCGUUAUCCGGAAUUAUUGGGCGUAAAGAGCUCGUAGGCGGUUUGUCGCGUCGGCUGUGAAAGCCCGGAGCUCAACUCCGGGUCUGCAGUCGAUACGGGCAGACUUGAGUGUUGCAGGGGAGACUGGAAUUCCUGGUGUAGCGGUGAAAUGCGCAGAUAUCAGGAGGAACACCCGUAGCGAAGGCGGCACUCUGGGCCGGAACUGACGCUGAGGAGCGAAAGCGUGGGGAGCGAACAGG
rnacentral:rRNA from 1 species